GACGAACGCUGGCGGCGUGCUUAACACAUGCAAGUCGAACGGAAAGGCCCUGCUUUUGUGGGGUGCUCGAGUGGCGAACGGGUGAGUAACACGUGAGUAACCUGCCCUUGACUUUGGGAUAACUUCAGGAAACUGGGGCUAAUACCGGCUAGGAGCUCCUGCUGCAUGGUGGGGGUUGGAAAGUUUCGGCGGUUGGGGAUGGACACGCGGCUUAUCAGCUUGUUGGUGGGGUAGUGGCUUACCAAGGCUUUGACGGGUAGCCGGCCUGAGAGGGUGAACGGCCACAUUGGGACUGCGAUACGGCCCAGACUCCUACGGGAGGCAGCAGUGGGGAAUAUUGCACAAUGGGCGGAAGCCUGAUGCAGCAACGCCGCGUGCGGGAUGACGGCCUUCGGGUUGUAAACCGCUUUCGCCUGUGACGAAGCGUGAGUGACGAUAAUGGGUAAAGAAGCACCGGCUAACUACGUG
rnacentral:rRNA from 1 species